CCUACGGUGGUCAGCAGUGGGGGAUAUUGCACAAUGGGGGAAACCCUGAUGCAGCGAUGCCGCGUGAAUGAAGACGGCCUUCGGGUUGUAAAGUUCUGGCGCAGGGGACGAAAAUGACGGUACCCUGCAAGAAAGCUCCGGCUAACUACGUGUCAGUAGCCGCGGCAAUACGUAGGGAGAAAGCGUUGUCCAGAAUUACGUGGUGUAAAGGGAGGGUAGGCGGGAGGAUAAGUUGAAGGUGAAAUCUAGGGGCUCAACCCAUAGCUGCGUUGAAACCUGUUCUGCUUGAGUGAAGUAGAGGCAGGCGGAAUUCCUAGUGUAGCGGUGAAAUGCGUAGAUAUUAGGAGGAACACCAGUGGCGAAGGCGGCCUGCUGGGCUUUUACUGACGCUGAGGCUCGAAAGCGUGGGUAGCAAACAGGAUUAGAUACCCCGGUAGUC
rnacentral:rRNA from 1 species